AACGUAGGUGGCGAGCGUUAUCCGGAUUUACUGGGCGUAAAGCGUGCGCAGGCGGUUUUGUAAGCCAGAUGUGAAAUCCCCGGGCUUAACCUGGGAAUGGCAUUUGGGACUGCAAGGCUGGAGUGUGGCAGAGGAGACUGGAAUUCCUGGUGUAGCAGUGAAAUGCGUAGAUAUCAGGAGGAAUACCGAUGGCGAAGGCAGGUCUCUGGGCUGACACUGACGCUCAUGCACGAAAGCGUGGGGAGCAAACAGG
rnacentral:rRNA from 1 species